rnacentral:rRNA from 1 species
GAUGAACGCUGGCGGCGUGCCUAAUACAUGCAAGUCGAGCGAACGGACGAGAAGCUUGCUUCUCUGAUGUUAGCGGCGGACGGGUGAGUAACACGUGGAUAACCUACCUAUAAGACUGGGAUAACUUCGGGAAACCGGAGCUAAUACCGGAUGAUAUUUUGAACCGCAUGGUUCAAAAGUGAAAGACGGUCUUGCUGUCACUUAUAGAUGGAUCCGCGCUGCAUUAGCUAGUUGGUAAGGUAACGGCUUACCAAGGCAACGAUGCAUAGCCGACCUGAGAGGGUGAUCGGCCACACGGGAACUGAGACACGGUCCAGACUCCUACGGGAGGCAGCAGUAGGGAAUCUUCCGCAAUGGGCGAAAGCCUGACGGAGCAACGCCGCGUGAGUGAUGAAGGUCUUCGGAGCGUAAAACUCUGUUAUUAGGGAAGAACAUAUGUGUAAGUAACUGUGCACAUCUUGACGGUACCUAAUCAGAAAGCCACGGCUAACUACGUG